rnacentral:rRNA from 1 species
ACGGGUGAGUAACACGUGGGUAACCUGCCCAUCAGAAGGGGAUAACACUUGGAAGCAGGUGCUAAUACCGUAUAACACUAUUUUCCGCAUGGAAGAAAGUUGAAAGGCGCUUUUGCGUCACUGAUGGAUGGACCCGCGGUGCAUUAGCUAGUUGGUGAGGUAACGGCUCACCAAGGCCACGAUGCAUAGCCGACCUGAGAGGGUGAUCGGCCACACUGGGACUGAGACACGGCCCAGACUCCUACGGGAGGCAGCAGUAGGGAAUCUUCGGCAAUGGACGAAAGUCUGACCGAGCAACGCCGCGUGAGUGAAGAAGGUUUUCGGAUCGUAAAACUCUGUUGUUAGAGAAGAACAAGGAUGAGAGUAGAACGUUCAUCCCUUGACGGUAUCUAACCAGAAAGCCACGGCUAACUACGUGCCAGCAGCCGCGGUAAUACGUAGGUGGCAAGCGUUGUCCGGAUUUAUUGGGCGUAAAGCGAGCGCAGGCGGUUUCUUAAGUCUGAUGUGAAAGCCCCCGGCUCAACCGGGGAGGGUCAUUGGAAACUGGGAGACUUGAGUGCAGAAGAGGAGAGUGGAAUUCCAUGUGUAGCGGUGAAAUGCGUAGAUAUAUGGAGGAACACCAGUGGCGAAGGCGGCUCUCUGGUCUGUAACUGACGCUGAGGCUCGAAAGCGUGGGGAGCGAACAGGAUUAGAUACCCUGGUAGUCCACGCCGUAAA